GAUGAAGAACGCAGCGAAAUGCGAUACUUGGUGUGAAUUGCAGAAUCCCGUGAACCAUCGAGUAUUUGAACGCAAGUUGCGCCCGAAGCCAUUAGGCCGAGGGCACGCCUGCCUGGGCGUCACACGUCGUUGCCCCCCCAUCUACUCCUUCGGGAUUGCGGGGGGCGGAUGAUGGCCUCCCGUGCGCCUCGCCGCGCGGUUGGCAUAAAUGCCAAGUCCUCGGCGACGCACGCCACGACAAUCGGUGGUUGCGAAACCUCGGUUGCCCGUCGUGUGCGGUCGUCGCGCAUCGAGGGCUCGAAAAAAUUGCCGGGUUCCGGCUCGGCUUUCAACGCGACCCCAGGUCAGGCGGGGUUACCCGCUGAAUUUAAGCAUAUCAAUAAGCGGAGGA
rnacentral:misc_RNA from 1 species